rnacentral:lncRNA from 1 species
CUUAACCAAGGAGUGUGGAGACACUGGUAUGGCAUACAGGUGAGAUGUAAGGGUACAUCAUCAUUGAACGUGACCAACUCCAGAGUAUUCUGCUAUCGAGAAUGUCUCUGAUGGGAUAUAGGUAUAAGUGUCCCUUAGACUUGAGAUCGCCUCAGUGACUUGCAAGCAACUCACUGUGCUUUGGUACUGGACUAACUGAAUUUCUAA